rnacentral:rRNA from 1 species
UACGUAGGGACCAAGCGUUGUUCGGAUUUACUGGGCGUAAAGGGCGCGUAGGCGGCAAUUCAAGUCAGUUGUGAAAUUUCCGAGCUUAACUCGGAACGGUCAACUGAUACUGUUUUGCUAGAGUGCAGAAAGGGCAACCGGAAUUCUUGGUGUAGCGGUGAAAUGCGUAGAUAUCAAGAGGAACACCUGAGGCGAAGGCGGGUUGCUAGGCUGACACUGACGCUGAGGCGCGAAAGCGUGGGGAGCAAACAGG